rnacentral:rRNA from 1 species
ACCCGAAUGGGGAAACCCAGUGUGACUCGUCACACUAUCAUUAACUGAAUCCAUAGGUUAAUGAGGCGAACCGGGGGAACUGAAACAUCUAAGUACCCCGAGGAAAAGAAAUCAACCGAGAUUCCCCCAGUAGCGGCGAGCGAACGGGGAGGAGCCCAGAGCCUGAAUCAGCAUGUGUGUUAGUGGAAGCGUCUGGAAAGGCGCGCGAUACAGGGUGACAGCCCCGUACACAAAAGCGCAUGUGCUGUGAGCUCGAUGAGUAGGGCGGGACACGUGGUAUCCUGUCUGAAUAUGGGGGGACCAUCCUCCAAGGCUAAAUACUCCUGACUGACCGAUAGUGAACCAGUACCGUGAGGGAAAGGCGAAAAGAACCCCGGCGAGGGGAGUGAAAAAGAACCUGAAACCGUGUACGUACAAGCAGUGGGAGCACCCUUUGGGGUGUGACUGCGUACCUUUUGUAUAAUGGGUCAGCGACUUAUAUUCUGUAGCAAGGUUAACCGUAUAGGGGAGCCGUAGGGAAACCGAGUCUUAACCGGGCGUUAAGUUGCAGGGUAUAGACCCGAAACCCGGUGAUCUAGCCAUGGGCAGGUUGAAGGUUGGGUAACACUAACUGGAGGACCGAACCGACUAAUGUUGAAAAAUUAGCGGAUGACCUGUGGCUGGGGGUGAAAGGCCAAUCAAACCGGGAGAUAGCUGGUUCUCCCCGAAAGCUAUUUAGGUAGCGCCUCGUGAAUUCAUCUCCGGGGGUAGAGCACUGUUUCGGCUAGGGGGCCAUCCCGGCUUACCAACCCGAUGCAAACUGCGAAUACCGGAGAAUGUUAUCACGGGAGACACACGGCGGGUGCUAACGUCCGUCGUGAAGAGGGAAACAACCCAGACCGCCAGCUAAGGUCCCAAAGUCAUGGUUAAGUGGGAAACGAUGUGGGAAGGCCCAGACAGCCAGGAUGUUGGCUUAGAAGCAGCCAUCAUUUAAAGAAAGCGUAAUAGCUCACUGGUCGAGUCGGCCUGCGCGGAAGAUGUAACGGGGCUAAACCAUGCACCGAAGCUGCGGCAGCGACACUGUGUGUUGUUGGGUAGGGGAGCGUUCUGUAAGCCUGUGAAGGUGGCCUGUGAGGGUUGCUGGAGGUAUCAGAAGUGCGAAUGCUGACAUAAGUAACGAUAAAGCGGGUGAAAAGCCCGCUCGCCGGAAGACCAAGGGUUCCUGUCCAACGUUAAUCGGGGCAGGGUGAGUCGACCCCUAAGGCGAGGCCGAAAGGCGUAGUCGAUGGGAAACAGG